GUGGACAACCUGCCUCAAGGCUGGGGAUAACAUUUGGAAACAGAUGCUAAUACCGAAUGAAACUUAGUGUCGCAUGAUACGAAGUUAAAAGGCGCUUUGGCGUCACCUAGAGAUGGAUCCGCGGUGCAUUAGUUAGUUGGUGGGGUAAAGGCCUACCAAGACAAUGAUGCAUAGCCGAGUUGAGAGACUGAUCGGCCACAUUGGGACUGAGACACGGCCCAAACUCCUACGGGAGGCUGCAGUAGGGAAUCUUCCACAAUGGGCGAAAGCCUGAUGGAGCAACGCCGCGUGUGUGAUGAAGGCUUUCGGGUCGUAAAGCACUGUUGUAUGGGAAGAACAGCUAGAAUAGGGAAUGAUUUUAGUUUGACGGUACCAUACCAGAAAGGGACGGCUAAAUACGUGCCAGCAGCCGCGGUAAUACGUAUGUCCCGAGCGUUAUCCGGAUUUAUUGGGCGUAAAGCGAGCGCAGACGGUUGAUUAAGUCUGAUGUGAAAGCCCGGAGCUCAACUCCGGAAUGGCAUUGGAAACUGGUUAACUUGAGUGCAGUAGAGGUAAGUGGAACUCCAUGUGUAGCGGUGGAAUGCGUAGAUAUAUGGAAGAACACCAGUGGCGAAGGC
rnacentral:rRNA from 1 species